AAAGGAAUUGACGGGGACCCACACAAGCGGUGGAGCAUAUUGUUUAAUUCGACGAUACCCGAAGAACCUUACCCAGACUUGACAUCCUGAGAAUCCUCCAGAAAUGGAGGAGUGCCGCAAGGAGCUCAGUGACAGGUGCUGCAUGGUUGUCGUCAGCUCGUGCCUUGAGGUGUUCGGUUAAGUCCGUGAACGAGCGCAACCCACGUUCUGUGUUAAAAAUGUCACAGAAGACUGCCUACGUUAAGUAGGAGGAAGGUGUGGAUGAUGUCAAAUCAGCAUGGCCCUUAUGUCUGGGGCUACUAAUGUGCUACAAUGGGGUAUACAAUGCGCAGCCAAGGAGUAAUCCGGAGCCAAUCGCAUCAAAGUACUUCUCAGUUCGGAUUGAGGGCUGCAACUCGCCCUUAUGAAGUUGGAAUCGCUAGUAAUCGUGAAUCAGAUAUGUCACGGUGAAUAUGUUCCUGGGUCUUGUACACACCGCCCGU
rnacentral:rRNA from 1 species